rnacentral:rRNA from 1 species
AUGGUGACUAUGGAUUUCGUUGAAGGGUUGCCGCCAUCUAGUAGAUAUAACUGCCUGUUUGUGGUCAUUGAAAAAUUAUCCAAAUAUGGCCAUUUCGUUCCUAUGCACCAUCCUUUUACUACUGAAACAGUAGUUGAGACCUUUCUCAACUCUGUUUAUCGCUUGCAUGGGAUGCCUGUGUCGAUUGUAUCUGAUCGUGAUCGCAUCUUCACAAGCACUUUCUGGCGGGAGUUGUUUUCCAAGUCAGGUACAUUACUCAGGAUGAGUACGGCCAGACACCCUCAGUUUGACGGACAGACCGAGCGCGUUAACCAGCAAGUUGAAUGUUUCUUAAGAUGCUUUGUCAGUGCACACCCAUCUCAUUGGGCCAAAUGGAUCCCACUCUGUGAAUUCUGGUAUAAUACCAAUUGGCACUCGGCUACAGGCAAGACUCCCUUUGAGAUCAUCUAUGAACAUGGACCACGUCAUUUUGGCCUCACCUCUGAUGCUGUCAUUCAAUCUUCAGAUCUGCAGCAAUGGCUAGAGGAUCGGCGUGUGGUAUUGGAUUCUGUCCGCCAACAUUUGCUCAGAACCCAACAACAGAUGAAGGUCCAGGCUGAUAAACAUCGCUCUGAGCGUGAGUUCCAGGUUGGGGAAUCCGUGUUUCUGGAACUACAACCCUAUCUACAGUCUUCGGUCGCUCCCCGUGCAAAUCACAAGCUUGUGGCCCCUUUAAAGUGGUGGAUAGGGUCGGUGAGGUAG